GUAUGUUAAAGUUGUUGCGGUAAAAAGCUCGUAGUUGGAUUUCUGUCGAGGACGACCGGUCCAUACAAUGUAUGUGCAUCUGGUUCGGCUUCGGCAUCCUCUCGAAAGACGUUUCUGUGCUUGAUUGCAUGGAGCGGAGUUCGGGACUUUUACUUUGAGGAAACUGGAGUGUUCACGGCAGGCUAUCGCCAGAACAUAUUAGCAUGGAAUAAUACUAUAGGAUUUAGGUUCUAUUUUGUUGGUUUCUAGAAUCUGAAUAAUGAUUAAUAGGGACAGUUGGGGGCAUUCGUAUCAAGGCGUCAGAGGUGGAAUUCUUGUAUUGCCUUGCGACGAACUACUGCGAAAGCAUUUGCCAAGGAUGUUUUCAUUGAUCAAGAACGAAAGUAAGGGGAUCGAAGACGAUUAGAUACCGUCGUAGUCUUUACCACAAACUAUGCCGACUAGAGAUGGGACAUCGUUCUUUUACGACUUGUUCCGCACCUUAUGAGAUAUCAAAGUUUUUGGGUUCCGGGGGGAGUAUGGGCGCAAGCUUGGAACU
rnacentral:rRNA from 1 species